rnacentral:tmRNA from 1 species
GGAGAUGUAAUGCUUUGACGAAAUUUGCACUUUAAAAGACUGCAAGCCGACUUUGACUCAGAGUCGAAAACAGAGUCAAAAAAACAUGCCAAAAAAUCUUUUGGUGUUGAUUUGACCAAAGUAGCUGACGCCUUUACCGGUGUUACUUCUGCGGCUCCUGCUUACGCAUUAGCUUAAGCAUCAACCAUUGUUUUUACACCUGUUCUAAGGGGGUCUAAACAGUGUUAAUCAAAUUAGAAUGCUCUCAGGAAAAUCCCGAUUUUUUCCGGAGUUAAGAGGGGAGUAAUUUCCCCAAAUCAAUCGGUGUUUUUCAAAAAUAAGCUUGUAGAUGUCUUUUAUUUUCAAUUUCGGACCUGGGGUCAUUCCUCAGCAUCUCCGCCU